rnacentral:rRNA from 1 species
AAUUUUGGACAAUGGGGGCAACCCUGAUCCAGCCAUCACGCGUGUGCGAUGAAGGCCUUCGGGUUGUAAAGCUCUGUCCUAAGGGAAGAAACGGACGGUACCUUAGGAGGAAGCCCCGGCUAACUACGUGCCAGCAGCCGCGGUAAUACGUAGGGGGCGAGCGUUAUCCGGAAUUAUUGGGCGUAAAGGGUGCGGAGGCGGCCUUUUAAGUCAGAUGUGAAAGGCUACGGCUUAACCGUAGUUAGCAUUUGAAACUAAAAGGCUUGAGUGCAGGAGAGGAGAGUGGAAUUCCUAGUGUAGCGGUGAAAUGCGGAGAUAUUAGGAGGAACACCAGUGGCGAAGGCGACUCUCUGGACUGCAACUGACGCUGAGGCACGAAAGCGUGGGGAGCGAACAG